ensembl:lncRNA
CGGCCGCGCCCCGCGCCAGGAAAGCCUCGGCUGCCCGGGGAAUGCCGCUGCCCUCAGAACACGAGGCCGGUGUGUCCGGCUGAGCAGCCCCAGCCCCAGCAGCUCUGCUUUGGUGCCCGAGUAGCCCUCUCUGCAUCUAACACUGUUGGUGUUCCCUACAGUCCUCGUUUUUACACAGACAUGCUUGCCUGUGAAAAUCCCUGCCCGAGCACUCAUUUUUCCAUCAUUCUGAACUAUGGGCUAGGGUCAGGUGUCCAAAGAACCAUGAAAGCGCUUUGAAAUACCUUUUUUUUUUUUUCCUUAUCUGCUGCUUCUUCAGCAGAAGUUUGUAAUGCUUGUGGGUUCCUCAUGCAUCACGAAAAGACCUGCAAGUCUGCCUAUGGCUGCCUGAGCAUUUCAUAGUACCAUAUAAUUAAGCAUCAAAGUCACAAAGACCACUAAAGAUGAUCUAGUCCAACCAUCAGCCCAUGCCUGUGAGUGCUUUAGGCCACGCCCCAAAGAGGGGUGAAGUGGCAGCAAUUGGGCAACAGCAGUGCGUUUUGGGCUGCAAUGCACUCAUACCUGCUGGGCUGGAACAGGGCUGGCCCCAGGGAGCACGGGCUGCUCGGGGCCGGUUGCUCCACAUGCUCUGCAUGCUAAGGGAAUGCACAUCCUCUUCAUCCAGGUGCUGUGCCCACACCUGUAGAGCCAAAGUUCAUAAAGCAUUGAAAUAACGUUGCUUCUUCCACCACAGGCAUCCUUACCAGUGUUGUAACUUCAGAAGCAUCAUCUUUGAUCACUGCACAAGUGAGCUUACAGUGCUGACAAAGGAUUCCUGUAAUGGCUUAGGAAUGCUGUAAUGCUAACUUUAAUUUAUUACUUCACCACACAAAAGACACAUUUGCUUCCCUUGAACCUGAAGUCAUAGAACUUACACCGGUGCUGCUUUAGCCCUCUCUACUGAAAAUGAACUUAGCAAAGCAACAUUUGCAUUUGUAAAGCAAGUGCACAAAUGUUGGAAGGGCUGGGAAAGCUGGGAAGUUGUGCAGUGCAUUUCUAAGCAAAAUCUUUAUCUCAUUUUCAGUCCCUAAUUUUGCAAGAUGAAAAGUUCUUAAAAGCAAAGCUCUGAAUUCCAUUGCCCAUCUUGUGUUAAUAUUAACCAAAUCUCAAGGGGGCAGGAGACAAAAUGCAUCCCCGGUUAUUAAAGACAGAUCAGGUUUAGCAUGAAGUUCCUCUAGAAGGCCAGUUCUUUAUCUGCUCACUCCUUGUUCAAAUUCAUAAACGAAAAGACCGAGAAGGCAGAGUGCAGUAUUCCUAAUUUACAUUGACUCAUAUUUGGGCCAGCUUAAGUAGUAAAAAAGCAAUUCCUUUUAUCUGAGUUCUCCAUUUAGACUCUUAAAAAGAUCACAUAAGUUAUCAGUCACCACAUGACCCUAAUAUUUUAAUCCAUUGCCUUGCGUAUGCUGUUUUUCUUAUCCUUAUCUGAAACAUCAGCUCUACCAUUAAGCUUAAAUCCUCCAAAUACUUACAACUGUGCUCAGUUUUGGGCUCAUGAAGAAAUCCACUCUGCAUUCCCAACACAACCAUGCACACAAAACUAACUACAUGCCUUCCUGGGGGUCUUUCUUAGUUUUCUCAAAGGUGUUUGUUUUUGUUUUUAAUUUCUGAUUAAAAUCUGUUUUAUUUAUUUAUUUAUUUAUUUUCUGGGCAGCCUGGUCUAGUAUUAGAUAUGGAGGUUGGUGGCCUUGCCUGCAGGAGGGGGCUUGGAGCUUGAUCCUUGAGGUCCCUUCCGACCCAAGCCAUUCUGUGGUUCUAUGAUUCUGUGAUCCCCUUAAGCUCCUAGACAUUGGUGUGAAAUUGUGGCUUUAAUUGGGUCACUGAAAAUAGGCCCAGCUGGCUUUGAGAGAGCACUAGUCCAGAUUUUCCUAUUUGUCUUUGAGACAUCAAGGCAGAGUUGAGCACUAAAAUGGUCCUCUAUCUUUUCGCUGAUCUGUUCUACAGACGUCAUGCUCGCAAAUUUAUUAUUUCCUUUUAAAGUAAUUACGCACAUCUAAUCAAAUUUUCCAGAGUAAAAAGUUGACAUCCACAGAACUGCCCAGGAUGAAAAAAAACCAACAAAAAACAACAAACCAAGCCACUCAAAUAGGAAGUUUCUUCCUCUAAGCAGCUGCUUUGCCAUGUUUUCUUAAGCUGUAUGGAGGGGAGCGCUGCGAAAUCCUGUUUGAGAAUCUUCUUGGAUGGUAUUUAACAUGUCACAAACAUCUUUAUUGAUGUAAUUAUGAGGAAGAUUUGAUUAUUUUGCUUCUGAGCUCUGAUCCCAUCUUCCUUAAGGGAAACAAAUAGAACAGGAAAAGAAAAGAAAAAAAAAAAAAACCAAGAUGAGAGAAGUAAUAGAAAAUGCAACCUUUGUCUCUGGCUCUCAUAGAGGCCAGAGCUGUUUUGAAAGCAAAAGCCAGACAACACGGCUUUAGCAGCUAUUUCAUCAGCUGGCAAAAUAUUAUGCCACUGGAAAUGUCAUUUCUCCUGUGCUCUUUUCGUCCAGGCUCUCACCCGGUGGAGGGCUGGGUGGAGUUGCUGACUGAACCAGACUCUCAGAAGACAGAAAGCAAAAAUGAGAAAGGCACUUACAGAUGGAAUUUAAAGCUGGUGAGCAAUUCCAGAUGUAACCACCUUCAAAAGGCGCUGGGAAUACCGCAGCCCCCUCAGCCCCAGCAGAGAACUGGUCUGAUAUUUAGCUGUGCAUUCAAGUAACCUCAGACAUUCAGCUCAGAAGAUGCUGACUGAAAACUGAACAUUUGAAAAACCAACAAAAAAAAUUCCAGAUCCUCUGCUAACGAGAGUUAGCCCUUUCCAAACACUGGGAGAUCUAUGGGACAGCUUUCCAUAAAUACUAG